GACGAAGGGGGCUAGCGUUGUUCGGAAUUACUGGGCGUAAAGCGCGUGUAGGCGGUUGCUCAAGUCGGGUGUGAAAGCCUUGAGCUCAACUCAAGAAAUGCACUCGAUACUGGAUGACUUGAGGACCGGAGAGGAUAGUGGAAUUCCCAGUGUAGUGGUGAAAUACGUAGAGAUUGGGAAGAACACCAGUGGCGAAGGCGGCUAUCUGGACGGUUUCUGACGCUAAGACGCGAAAGCGUGGGGAGCAAACAGG
rnacentral:rRNA from 1 species